UGCAUGUAGAUACCAAGAUUUGCAGGAUGUAAAUACCUAAGUUUGUCAUACAUCAUAAAAACCAACUCAAAUCUGAAAGAUAUCUCGUGUUUCUUUGUCAAUCCUCAGGCCUGUUUACAUGGAGAGGUGGCAAAUACCUUAAAUGGUUCGAUCCUCAUGCCAAGUAGGACAGGAGAGGUGGUACAAAUGCAUGUAGAUACCAAGACUUGCAGGAUGUAAAUACCUAAGUUUGUCAUACGUCGUAAAAAUCAAUUCAAAUCUAAAAGAUAUCUCGUGUUUCUUUGUCAAUCCUCAGGCCUGUUUACAUGGAGAGGUGUCGAUUACCUUAAAUGUUACGAUCCUCAUGCCAAGUAGGAUAGAUUAGGAGAUGUGGUACAAAUGCAUGUAGAUACCAAGACUUGCAUGAUGUAAAUAUUUAAGUAUGUCAUACAUAGUAAAACCAAUUCAAAUCUGAAAGCUAUCUCAUGUUUCUUUGUCAAUCUUCAGGCCUGUUGACACGGAGAGGUGGCGAAUACCUUAAUUGGUAUGAUCCUCAUGUCAAGUGAGACAUGAGACAUGAUAUAAAUGCAUGUAGAUACCAAGUUUUGCAUGAUGUAAAUUCUUAAGUACGUCAUACCUAGAGAUCUAGUAUCAUGGCUAUAUAUGAGAGUCGCAUCAGUCUGUCCAUCUACAGUUAGGUCUCCUAAACUGCUCUCUAAAUUUUCAAAUAAUUUUACAUGCACAUCACCAUCAUGAGCGCAAGGAAAACGUGCAUUUACAUGUAACUUUGACCUUCACCUUGACUUGAGAUACUUUUUAAAGUCAGUGUCUUCAGAAAAUAAGCAAUUUAGGUGCCGUACGAUAUGAAGGUAUUCAUCACCUUCAGUGAUAGCUCUAGUUAUUUAAAUUUUGAAGAUUUAAUGACUGAAAUUGAAUCAUUUGAUACCAUUAAUGGCAUAAAAAGUUUAUUCAAUGAGUACUGUCUUGUUCUUAUAAUGCGAUCUACUUUUGUCAAUACGAUUGCUGUAGAACUGAUUGGACCUACAUAUUUACAACAGUUUAACUGUUUUGUUUCCUUUUUACAGUCCCAAUAUUAUUGCAAUUCGGUAGCAAAGAUGUUGACACCACAUGUCGUCUGAUGAUGAGUUUUACAGGAUCGAAUAAGGUUUGGUCAUUGUAUUCCCUGAAAGGAACAAAAGGAGAAAAGAAACUGGAAGACCUGCAUGCCUAUCCGCAGGCCAAUGCUGGCUGCAGAUCAAUAUUGAAUGCUCUUAUGAAAACUCAUAAGACAGUAACAAAAAAAGGAAGCUGAGGAUGCUGUUUUUAAAACAUGUUCCAUUCAAAAAUGGUGGAUUGAAAUUUAAGAAAGGUGUGACGGGUGCGGCUACUGCAGGCAGGGAGGAUUUGACGGUCAGCCAGAGGAUUUGGAGAUAUACUGUAAUGUCUUUAAUGUGGACUUGCGUGUGAUUUAAGUUUUCACAAGGGUUUUAGUGUGUGUGAAAGUAUGUCAGUUUUCAAAAUUGAGCUAUGACAGUUUGCUCAAACUACAUAACUCAAAGAACUUUGAAGCGGUCUUGUUGGCGUCAUGAGCUUUUGUUUAAUACCAGUAUUGGUGAUAUAGGCCCAUGAUUAUAUACUGUAGAAAGUGAACAAGUUCACUGCUCGAUACAGAUAAUCAUAUGGCCUGAUCUCUGAAUGAUAUUUAUGAACUAAAAGAAGGCAUACAAUAAAAACAUACUGUAGUGAUUUAAAUUAUUGAUAUUGUUAAACUAGAUCUGGGCCUGUAUUCAUAAAGGAUCUUAGUAAAAAAAAUUAUCUAUAACUUAAUAUUCUUCAAUUAACUCAAAAACUUUUCACGCUCUUUAAAUAUUUCACAGCAUGACUACAAACUUGUAUAUUAUACCAAAGAAAAAUAGACUGGCAACUUGAAAGGCGUAUAGAGCAAAUCUCGCCAACAUCACAUGGCAACUGAAUGAGAUCUCGUUUUAGUAAGCAUAUUUGAUCACAAUUGAUCGUCAGCAAAUGCUUUGAAAUAAGAAAACUUGAUCGUUCGUGUAUAAUGCUAAUGGUACUUUGUUAAUAAUAUUAUCAGUAUUUUCUACACAGGAAAGCAAUGAAUUUUUGAUUGGAAGUCUGAGAAAUCAACAGUUGUUGUAAAAUGGGCUCGAUUCGGUUUAUUACACGCCAGUGUAACAUUAAAUACUGACCACGUUGAAAAUUGACCCCAUAGAUCCUUUUCAACGUUGAGAAUUGACCCCGUCAACAUUUCAACAUCAAAUUUUGAUCAAAGGGUCAUUUUUCAACGUUGAGAAUUGACCCCGUCAACAUUUCAACAUUAAAUUUUGAUCAAAAGAUCCUUUUUCAGCAUUGAGAAAUGGCCCCACCAACAUUUCAACAUUAAAUUUUGAUCAAUGGGGUCAAUAUCUAAUGUUACACCGGCUGUACUGCCAGUUUAAUACUUCAGUAAGCAUCUGUUGAUUUGAUCACGACUGAUCAAAUCGGCAAACACUUUGAAAUAAUAUAACGUGAAAUAAUAUAACGCGCUAACACGAGCUGAUGCAAGACUCUCCAGUUGCCAUAUUACUGUCAAAUCGCCGAAUAGUGGAGCGCGCUGUCUUACAGACAGCUCUUUUUGUUGAGACCCCUUAGAGAAUUUCAAAUUUGUUGUCGCAAAUCUUCAUUCUGAUGUGUUGCACACAAGUCGCAUCCAUAUAACCAUGGUCAAGGUCACACUUUGGUCAAAGGUCAAAAGAGAGUUGAUUCUGACGCAUUCUUUGUUUAUUCUUUUACUAUUUUUUAUCAGAAAAUCAAAUUAUUGAUCGUCUGCGUUACUUAAAUUUUGUUUUUCUCAAAAACUGUCAAAGGUAACCAUUUGAAACUUGGAAAACUUGUUCACUUUUACACAUUUUAUUCAUUGCAAUGCAGGUAACCCUGCGAUUUGUUUUUACAGAGGUAAUACCUCUUACUGCCUGUCAGUCUCCAAUUUCUCAAUACAAUGUAACAAGGUAUUUUUCUUCUUUACAGUGGUGACCUCAUUCUGCUGACUAGGUGACUUUCAAUGAUUUUUUGUUGAGCUAUUGCACUUUUUCGACCUUAAAUUUUCAGUUGUUUUUUUUUUUUCAAUCCAAUUACCCAGUAUCUUAUCAUAGGUAUUGACAUGAUACUAGACAUAAUUUAUUGUGAUGACCCAAUUUGUUAGACAAGAGGAGGUAAUUCUGUCAAGGAUCAUUUUCUAAGAAUUAUUGCCCUUUUUAUACGCCCGUUUGAAAAAUUGGACGUAUUAUGGGAACGCCCCUGGCGGGCCGGCAGGUGACGUCCGGAGCAUAUCUUCUUCAUGCAUGGAGGGAUUUUGAUGAAACUUGGCACAGUUGCUCACCAUCAUGAGACGGAGUGUCAUGUGCAAGAACCAGGUCACUAGGGCUGUUCAGAGUAUGUGCAUCCGUGCGUGUGUCCAUAUUUGAUUGUCCAGACUGUAACUUUGACAUGCAUGGAGUAAUCUCAUUUAUAUUUGGCAUAAAUGUUAACCUCAGUGAGACGGAGUCAUGUGCAAACCACAGGUUCCUAUCUCGAAGGUCAAGGUCACACUUAGAGGUCAAAGGUUAAAUUCAAUAAUGACUUUAUCCGGAGCAUUUCUUCUUCAUGCAUGGAUGAAUUUUGAUGAAGCUUGGCACAAUUGUUCACCAUCAUGAGACGGAGUGUCAUGCGCAAGAACCAGGUCCCUAGGUCUAAGGUCAAGGUCACAAUUAGAGGUCAAAGGAUACAAGAAUGAAAACUUUGUUCAGAGCAUUUCUUCUUCAUGCAUGGAGGGAUUUUGAUAUUACUUGGCACAAAUGUUAACCAUCACGAGACAGUGUCAUGCGCAAGAACCAGGUCCCUAGGUCUAAGGUCAAGGUCAUACUUAGAGGCUAAAGUUCAGAUACAAGAAUAACAUUGUCCGAAGCAUUUCUUCUUCAUGCAUAGAGGGAUUUUGAUGUAACUUGGCACAAUUGUACACCAUCAUGAGACGGAGUGUUAUGCGCAGGUCCCUUAUUUAGAAUUACCUUCCUUUGUUGUUACUAUAAAUAGUUUAGGCCUAAAAAAAAUUCUUUGUUUCCGGUAACAUGCUCAAAAAAAUUGGGGUAGGUAGGUCGGAAAAUAUUUUUUUUUUAUUAAGGGAGACUUUUCGGAAAUUAUUUUUGUGUCAAAAAAUGGAUACAAAUAAGGAGGUUAUGCCUUUAGAGCAUCAGUAAGUUGUUUUCUAACAUCACUGGCCAUGUUUUAAAGAUAAAAAGUGCAGUUUUUCAACUUUUUGUUAAAAAGUUGAAAAAAAUAUUCUCAGAGGCCAUAAAAACAUUUAGGGUCGAGCCAAAAAUUUAGGGUAGGUAGGGAUACCGGAAACAAACAGUUUUUUUUACGCCUUUUAUUGCAACUUUUUCAUUACUAGUCGUAGGGAAAAAUGGAGAUCACUUUUCUGUAGUGCAACAUGCAUGAUACAUCCAAUUCUGAGAUGUAUUUUGACCUGUCUCUACCUGGUAAGAUUUUUGUGUGGACUUGCAAUUUUUUGGGGGGGGGGGGGGAUUUUUUUUUUUUAAAGAUUAACUUCCCUUAGUUGUUACUAUAAAUAACUUACAUUGUAACUUUUUUGUAAUUGAUCAUAUGGAAAAACCAAGACCACCUUUUUGUGGUACAGCAUAGGUGUUUUUUUCAGUCAGUAACUUGAGAACCACUUUAGUUACCUAGAAUGUUAAAACAUAAUAGGAUGAUUGCACAUGCAGAGUUUAUGACCCCUAUUUAUUUUGGGGGUCACUGGACCUGAACAUGAGAAACAGUUUCCAUUUCAUAACUUAAGAACCACUAAGUCCAGAAUUUUGAAACUUAGUCGGAUGAUUGGACAUGCCAAGUAGAUGAUCCCUUUUGCAGCCAACCAUCAUUGUCUCUUUGACUUUUACUCCUGACCCUAUUGACUUCUUGCCUAUAUGACUAUGCAUUUGGGGAGACAUGCAUUUUCCUUCAAAAUCAUCUUCUAGUUCACCUUUGCCGAUCUUGCAGCUAAUGAAGUCUGUAUUUACCUUGUUCCUGUGGGCAUGUCAUUGUAUUAGAUUUUGUUAUCGUUUAACUACAUAAGCUUUUUGUAUUUAAUUAAAUUGAAUUAUCGUUAUCGUUAAACUACAUAAUCUUUUUAUAAUUUUGGACUUGAAUUAUCAUAUAUUGUUAAACUACAUAAGUUUUUUGUAUUUGAUGGAUUUAAAUAAUUGUUACGUAUGCUUUAAACUAUAUUGUAUUAUGAAGGGGUGCGGUAUUCCCAUAUACUGCUUAAGGGAUUACUUUCGUUGUUUCUGAACUUUAACAAAUAUUUUAGUAAAUUUUAUAAUUAGAUCUUGAAUUAAAAUAUGUAAUUGAAA